rnacentral:misc_RNA from 1 species
GUAACAAGGUUUCCGUAGGUGAACCUGCGGAAGGAUCAUUAACUAUAUGAGGAGAGGGCUGGGUCUCGGCCUGCCCCUCUCUGACUAUUCUACCCGUGUCUUUUUGCGUACUAUUUGUUUCCUCGGUAGGCCUUGCCUGCCGAUAGGACACUAUAAAAACCUUUUGUAAUUGCAGUCAGCGUCAGUAAAAACUUAAUAGUUACAACUUUCAACAACGGAUCUCUUGGUUCUGGCAUCGAUGAAGAACGCAGCGAAAUGCGAUAAGUAGUGUGAAUUGCAGAAUUCAGUGAAUCAUCGAAUCUUUGAACGCACAUUGCGCCCCUUGGUAUUCCAUGGGGCAUGCCUGUUCGAGCGUCAUUUGUACCCUCAAGCUUUGCUUGGUGUUGGGCGUUUUGUCCCGCGUUUGCGUGUGGACUCGCCUUAAAGCGAUUGGCAGCCGGCAUAUUGGCCUUGGAGCGCAGCACAUUUUGCGCUUCUGGUCUUGAAUGUUGGCGUCCAUUAAGCCUAUACAUUUGCUCUUGACCUCGGAUCAGGUAGGGAUACCCGCUGAACUUAAGCAUAUCAAUAA